UACGAAGGGGGCUAGCGUUGUUCGGAAUUACUGGGCGUAAAGCGCACGUAGGCGGAUAUUUAAGUCAGGGGUGAAAUCCCGGAGCUCAACUCCGGAACUGCCUUUGAUACUGGGUAUCUUGAGUAUGGAAGAGGUAAGUGGAAUUGCGAGUGUAGAGGUGAAAUUCGUAGAUAUUCGCAGGAACACCAGUGGCGAAGGCGGCUUACUGGUCCAUUACUGACGCUGAGGUGCGAAAGCGUGGGGAGCAAACAGG
rnacentral:rRNA from 1 species